GCGCUCCUGGGCUCCAACGCGGUGGUGGCUUGGCUCGACCGCGACAUCAGGGCAUCCAUGCAAGACAUCCCUGCUGCCAUCGUCGCGGAGAUGGGCAUGCUGCCGGACGACGUGUGCGUCGUCAAGCACUUCCCGGAGGCCUUCCUGGUGCGCUUCUUCCACCAGCACCAUUGCGCCGACGCGGCUGGGCGUCGGGACCUGAAGUUUCGCGACACUAGGCUGCAGAUGCGCCCCUGGCGCCUCGAUGCGCACUCGGUGAACGUGGACCUCAUCCACCACGUCGGGCUCUGCCUGGAUGGGCUCCCGCUGCAGGCGUGGGAUGACUACGCCGUCGCGCAGGCUAUCGGGCCGGGGUGCUCCAUCGACUACAUCGAGACCGCGUCUAAGCUCAAGACGGAUGCUGAGGUCCUGGGAGUCUGGGCAUGGACGGCAUCGCCG
rnacentral:rRNA from 1 species